AUAUAUUAAUCAAAAAUACCAGGAAAAUUCAAUUUCAGCUUCUGUUGCUGCAAAGUUCUGCACCAGGGAACUUUGGAGGGAAAAAAGGGUUAUUUUGCUAUUAAUGCUACUGAUCAAAGUUAAACAUCAUUUCCUCUGGAAAGGGCAAACCAACUAAACAAGUAUGUGGGAAGAUAAUUAGUUAAUCUGCUGGCUUUGGGUGGAUCCAUAUCAGUCUGCCUCUAAUCACAGAUGCAAAGCAGCCUUGAGACUUUUUUGAUGCUUUGAUUGUAGGGAUUGAAAGUCUUCCUGUUUAGAGAAGCAGCUCAUUUAGAUAAGCUACUUUUCCCAGCUUCUACACAUCACUAGUAAUGGAAUGUUUUUUUAUAAUUCCUAACUUUGAAGACUCAGACUUCUAUUUUGAUGUCAGUGAAAUCUUAGGCUCCUAAGCACAGGUAAACUUCACCUGUUGGAGUUUGGUCUGUGUGACACAGUGCUGUGUGUGCAUAGUGCUUAAUGCAUAAUCCAGGCAUUUGCUUUAUGCAGAGGUUACUGUGACACAUCAUGUGGCCAUUAAGAGGCUUCUUUAUGUAGAAUAUGAGCAGGAAGACUACUCACCUUCAACAUUUCUACAGCUCACUAAGCAUCUUCCAUGGAGAAAAACUGCUCCAAGUUUGCUCACCUGACAUGCUAUAAAUAAGAAACUCUGCUGGGUUUAUUCCUCUGUUCCAGUCUAAUACUGACUUUGUGACAAGAGGCCCCAGAGUGGAGAUUUUUGUAAUGAGAAAGUUGCAAAUGAGUAAUUUUGGUAGGAAGGUUACAUCGCUGGAUUUACAGACUCUGAAGUGAGCAGUAGAUCAGACCUCUAUGACGUGUAUGUGAAUUUGGCAGACAGUGAAAUUACAGUUUCACCUGUAGUAAAAGGUUGGUUGCUGUUUAUAUUUUGGAUUUAGAGGCAUUUUAUUCCAGAGUUGACAGUAAUUGCUCAACCUUCCUGUAGGUCAAACAAUCUUGAUCCUUCUCCCAUCCAGAUUUUGAAAAGUCAGUAUGUAAAUCUCUGUCUUCAUUUUAUUGCCACCCUGGAAGACUGGUUAAAGUUGGAAUUUGAAAAGCUGUGCUUUGUUUUCCAACAAAUGCACAACUGAGAUUUCUUAACAUCCAUAUUAGACAUGGAAGAGACUUCCAGCUGAAUGGAGAGGUAUUACAUGAAUUUUUAGAAACACUUAUCACUAAAUACUUGACGACUGGGCAUUAUUUGAAAGAAAUCCUUGUGUGUUGCUUAUCAUUUUGCUGCUCCUUAUCACUGUUUUGGGCCGCUUCAGA